UAGGGAAUAUUGCAAAUGGGCGAAAGCCUGAUGUAGCAACGCCGCGUGUGCGAUGAAGGUCUUCGGAUUGUAAAGCACUUUUUGGAGGGAUGAGGAAGGACAGUACCUCCAGAAUAAGCCUCGGCUAACUACGUGCCAGCAGCCGCGGUAACACGUAGGAGGCAAGCGUUAUUCGGAUUUACUGGGCGUAAAGCGCGUGCAGGCGGUUUGGAAAGUUGGAUGUGAAAGCUCCUGGCUCAACUGGGAGAGGUCGUUCAAAACUUCCAGGCGUGAGAGUGGGAGAGGGGGGUGGAAGUGCGGGUGGAGUGGGGAAAUGCGUAGAGAUCCGGAGGAACACCAGUGGCGAAAGCGGCAGCCUGGACCACUUCUGACGCUUAGAGGCGAAAGCUAGGGUAGCAAACGG
rnacentral:rRNA from 1 species